GACAGAGGGUGCAAGCGUUGUUCGGAAUCAUUGGGCGUAAAGCGCACGUAGGCGGCUGGGUAAGUCGAAUGUGAAAGCCCGGGGCUCAACCCCGGAAGUGCAUCCGAAACUGCUCAGCUUGAAUCCCGGAGAGGGUGGUGGAAUUCCUGGUGUAGAGGUGAAAUUCGUAGAUAUCAGGAGGAACAUCGGUGGCGAAGGCGACCACCUGGACGGAGAUUGACGCUGAGGUGCGAAAGCGUGGGUAGCAAACAGG
rnacentral:rRNA from 1 species